AGCGAACGCUGGCGGCAGGCCUAACACAUGCAAGUCGAACGGAGAUAGGGGCAACCUUAUUUCAGUGGCGGACGGGUGAGGAAUGCGUCGGAAUCUGCCCUAUGGUGGGGGAUAACACAGGGAAACUUGUGCUAAUACCGCAUAAUGUCGAGAGACCAAAGCAGGGGACCGGCAAGGCCUUGCGCGAUAGGAUGAGCCGACGCCCGAUUAGCUUGUUGGUAGGGUAAUGGCCUACCAAGGCGACGAUCGGUAGCUGGUCUGAGAGGAUGAUCAGCCACACUGGGACUGAGACACGGCCCAGACUCCUACGGGAGGCAGCAGUGGGGGAAUAUUGGACAAUGGGCGCAAGCCUGAUCCAGCAAUGCCGCCGUGUGUGAAGAAGGCCUGCGGGUUGUAAAGCACUUUUGUUCGGGAAGAAAUCAUGUCGGUUAAUACCCGAUGUGGAUGACGGUACCGAAAGAAUAAGCACCGGCUAACUUCGUGCCAGCAG
rnacentral:rRNA from 1 species